GUCUCGUCAGAGUGAGGGAGAGCGUAAGAGAGGGAGCGAGAGCCAGAUAGAGUAGGAUAGAAAUGCAGGGCGCGAGACCGCGCGACGCUUUCAGUCACCGCCCGAUCCUCGGCGCGCACGGUUUCGAAGUGGGUGUUUCUCUAUCGUAGAAAUAGAUUGGUGAUUUAAAUGGAAGUUCAUCGAGAGACAAGAAUCGUGUGAUCGGUAUUGAGUGCACGCGUCGGACAAAAGUCAAAUGACGCGAUCGUACUGAAAUUGAAAAAAUCAGCGAUCGAUGACCGAGUGCGCGGAUAUAAUUACGAUAUCGAAAUUUCGAUGUGAGAUUAACUUAUAAAUGGUGCAAUGAGAAUCGCAAGAACGCUGCGAUUAAAUUUCGUUAUUAUGCACAGGUGAAAACGUGGUCAUCCGGACGCAGAAGGAAUCAGGACUAUUGUAAAUGUGAAUAAUCUUGGAAUAAAAAUUUUACGAAAGUUCGUAAUCUUUUUCCUACUUUCAUUUCAGUCGUUUUUAAUCGAGACGAUCGAUUCGUCGAAAGACUACAUCGAACAUGUAGUCGCGAAGCGGCGUUUCAACGGCAAGAAACUAAAUCAGAAGUCACGCGGGUGUGUUCAGAAUUAAAUGGUGCGACAGAAAUGACUUUUUUCCAGACAGUGAUUUAUAAUUAUCUAGAAAUCUUUAGUGCAUCCACAGAUGUGUAAUGUGAACACACGAACAAAUAACUUCGACUUUGUCCGCGGAUUUGUCGCGGCGAAAUGAAGGACUCUGAACAUCUCUGCCAGAGUUAGGUGCAGCUUGGGACUGACGACAAAUGAAUAAUUCGACACGUGCCGUCUGGGCGCUCGAGAGGCUUUACUCAUUUUCUUUGAGCCACCCGGCAUCAGGUCGAUUCUCGUCGCGCGAGAUUUAUGAGACCUCACACCGCGAACUCGGAUAUUUCGAGAACGUUUUCUCGAACGUAAAUUGAAAUAUUAACUUACGGCCUUAUCAUCACAACCUCUUUCGACAUUAUG